rnacentral:lncRNA from 1 species
UAGGCAUGAAACAAUGGGAAUUGUUUCCCUCCUCAUUCUAUGUUCCUUUUUGGAAUUCCAUCACUCACCUCAACAGGAUUCCUUGGGACAAGAAAAUGAUGCCCACAGCAUGCAGGGAAAUCAUGGUAGCUGCACUGAGGGGAAGAAAAACAGCCCAGAAUGGGAUUCUUGAGAGCAGAAACUGCUUCACAAGUGUUUAGCCUAGUGGCUGGCCCAGAGAAGAAACUGCCUGGAUGGCAGCUCGUGGCACUCCUGGUAAAGUUUUCAACUGAAGACAACAAAACUUGGCCAUUUCUUUCCAGAGAACAUGAAAACAGUCGACCAGUGAGAGGGUCACAUGACUGAUUGUAUCUGAUUGAAUGUGAGCAGAAAUAUAUUUCACUCUUAGG